rfam:Beta vulgaris subsp. vulgaris chromosome 8, whole genome shotgun sequence.
AGAUUAUGGUUUGGGCAUUCUCUUUGCAAGUCUUUGAACCUAUUUCAUGCUUCCUUGAAUGUCUCAUCAGGUUCUUGUUGGAAGGCAGCAAGCUUGUGCUUGAUUUC